GGCAUAAACAUCACCACAGUCUGCUCUCCAACUGGUAAUGAACUCCAGUGUCAGUGUGAAGAUGGUUUUGCUUGGCCUUGUAACUUCUGCAGCAAUAAUUCAUGCAGCAGUGUCAGCAGCAGUGCGAUCUGUUCGUGUGUAAAUGGACUCCCUGGGAACGACUCCUGUCARCCAUCCACAAGUAUCUCUCCAUGUCCAACGACUACUCCAGUGACAACACCAUCAACAGCACCUGUGCCUGUGGAUUAUAAUGUGGUCGUAGAGCUGCUCAUCCCACUCUCCAGUGUCCUGAAUUUUACUGAGAUCAGAAACAAACUGAAAAA